rnacentral:rRNA from 1 species
AUUGAACGCUGGCGGCAGGCCUAACACAUGCAAGUCGAACGGUAGCACAGAGAGCUUGCUCUCGGGUGACGAGUGGCGGACGGGUGAGUAAUGUCUGGGAAACUGCCCGAUGGAGGGGGAUAACCACUGGAAACGGUAGCUAAUACCGCAUAACGUCUACGGACCAAAGUGGGGGACCUUCGGGCCUCACACCAUCGGAAGUGCCCAGAUGGGAUUAGCUAGUAGGUGGGGUAAUGGCUCACCUAGGCGACGAUCCCUAGCUGGUCUGAGAUGAUGACCAGCCACACUGGAACUGAGACACGGUCCAGACUCCUACGGGAGGCAGCAGUGGGGAAUAUUGCACAAUGGGCGCAAGCCUGAUGCAGCCAUGCCGCGUGUAUGAAGGAGGCCUUCGGGUUGUAAAGUACUUUCAGCGGGGAGGAAGGGUUGCUGGUUAAUAACCAGCGACAUUGACGUUACCCGCAGAAGAAGCACCGGCUAACUCCGUGCCAGCAGCCGCCGCAG